UCAAGUGAAGAAGCGCAUACGGUGGAUGCCUUGGCAGUCAGAGGCGAUGAAAGACGUGGUAGCCUGCGAAAAGCUUCGGGGAGUCGGCAAACAGACUUUGAUCCGGAGAUCUCUGAAUGGGGGAACCCACCUAGGAUAACCUAGGUAUCUUGUACUGAAUCCAUAGGUGCAAGAGGCGAACCAGGGGAACUGAAACAUCUAAGUACCCUGAGGAAAAGAAAUCAACCGAGAUUCCCUUAGUAGUGGCGAGCGAACGGGGAUUAGCCCUUAAGCUUCAUUGAUUUUAGCGGAACGCUCUGGAAAGUGCGGCCAUAGUGGGUGAUAGCCCCGUACGCGAAAGGAUCUUUGAAGUGAAAUCGAGUAGGACGGAGCACGAGAAACUUUGUCUGAACAUGGGGGGACCAUCCUCCAAGGCUAAAUACUACUGACUGACCGAUAGUGAACCAGUACCGUGAGGGAAAGGCGAAAAGAACCCCGGAGAGGGGAGUGAAAUAGAACCUGAAACCGUAUGCGUACAAGCAGUGGGAGCCUACUUGUUAGGUGACUGCGUACCUUUUGUAUAAUGGGUCAGCGACUUAUAUUCAGUGGCAAGCUUAACCGUAUAGGGUAGGCGUAGCGAAAGCGAGUCUUAAUAGGGCGUUUAGUCGCUGGGUAUAGACCCGAAACCGGGCGAUCUAUCCAUGAGCAGGUUGAAGGUUAGGUAACACUGACUGGAGGACCGAACCCACUCCCGUUGAAAAGGUAGGGGAUGACUUGUGGAUCGGAGUGAAAGGCUAAUCAAGCUCGGAGAUAGCUGGUUCUCCUCGAAAGCUAUUUAGGUAGCGCCUCAUGUAUCACUCUGGGGGGUAGAGCACUGUUUCGGCUAGGGGGUCAUCCCGACUUACCAAACCGAUGCAAACUCCGAAUACCCAGAAGUGCCGAGCAUGGGAGACACACGGCGGGUGCUAACGUCCGUCGUGAAAAGGGAAACAACCCAGACCGCCAGCUAAGGUCCCAAAGUUGUGGUUAAGUGGUAAACGAUGUGGGAAGGCUUAGACAGCUAGGAGGUUGGCUUAGAAGCAGCCAUCCUUUAAAGAAAGCGUAAUAGCUCACUAGUCGAGUCGGCCUGCGCGGAAGAUGUAACGGGGCUCAAACCACACACCGAAGCUGCGGGUGUCACGUAAGUGACGCGGUAGAGGAGCGUUCUGUAAGCCUGUGAAGGUGAGUUGAGAAGCUUGCUGGAGGUAUCAGAAGUGCGAAUGCUGACAUGAGUAACGACAAUGGGUGUGAAAAACACCCACGCCGAAAGACCAAGGGUUCCUGCGCAACGUUAAUCGACGCAGGGUUAGUCGGUUCCUAAGGCGAGGCUGAAAAGCGUAGUCGAUGGGAAACAGGUUAAUAUUCCUGUACUUCUGGUUACUGCGAUGGAGGGACGGAGAAGGCUAGGCCAGCUUGGCGUUGGUUGUCCAAGUUUAAGGUGGUAGGCUGAAAUCUUAGGUAAAUCCGGGGUUUCAAGGCCGAGAGCUGAUGACGAGUCGUCUUUUAGAUGACGAAGUGGUUGAUGCCAUGCUUCCAAGAAAAGCUUCUAAGCUUCAGGUAACCAGGAACCGUACCCCAAACCGACACAGGUGGUCGGGUAGAGAAUACCAAGGCGCUUGAGAGAACUCGGGUGAAGGAACUAGGCAAAAUGGCACCGUAACUUCGGGAGAAGGUGCGCCGGCUAGGGUGAAGGAUUUACUCCGUAAGCUCUGGCUGGUCGAAGAUACCAGGCCGCUGCGACUGUUUAUUAAAACACAGCACUCUGCAAACACGAAAGUGGACGUAGGGUGUGACGCCUGCCCGGUGCCGGAAGGUUAAUUGAUGGGGUUAGCGAAGCUCUUGAUCGAAGCCCGGUAAACGGCGGCCGUAACUAUAACGGUCCUAAGGUAGCGAAAUUCCUUGUCGGGUAAGUUCCGACCUGCACGAAUGGCGUAACGAUGGCGGCGCUGUCUCCACCCGAGACUCAGUGAAAUUGAAAUCGCUGUGAAGAUGCAGUGUAUCCGCGGCUAGACGGAGAGACCCGUGAACCUUUACUGUAGCUUUGCACUGGACUUUGAGCCUGCUGUAGGAUAGGUGGGAGGCUUUGAAGCGUGGACGCCAGUUCGCGUGGAGCCAUCCUGAAAUACCACCCUGGCAUGCUUGAGGUUCUAACUCUGGUCCGUGAUCCGGAUCGAGGACAGUGUAUGGUGGGCAGUUUGACUGGGGCGGUCUCCUCCUAAAGAGUAACGGAGGAGUACGAAGGUGCGCUCAGACCCGGAAAUCGGUCGCAGAGUAUAAAGGCAAAAGCGCGCUUGACUGCGAGACAGACACGUCGAGCAGGUACGAAAGUAGGUCUUAGUGAUCCGGUGGUUCUGUAUGGAAGGGCCAUCGCUCAACGGAUAAAAGGUACUCCGGGGAUAACAGGCUGAUACCGCCCAAGAGUUCAUAUCGACGGCGGUGUUUGGCACCUCGAUGUCGGCUCAUCACAUCCUGGGGCUGAAGCCGGUCCCAAGGGUAUGGCUGUUCGCCAUUUAAAGUGGUACGCGAGCUGGGUUUAGAACGUCGUGAGACAGUUCGGUCCCUAUCUGCCGUGGACGUUUGAGAUUUGAGAGGGGCUGCUCCUAGUACGAGAGGACCGGACGAACCUCUGGUGUUCCGGUUGUCACGCCAGUGGCAUUGCCGGGUAGCUAUGUUCGGAAAAGAUAACCGCUGAAAGCAUCUGGCGAAACUUGCCUCAAGAUGAGAUCUCACUGGGAACUUGAUUCCCUGAAGGGCCGUCGAAGACUACGACGUUGAUAGGCUGGGUGUAAGCGUUGUGAGGCGUUGAGCUAACCAGUACUAAUUGCCCGUGAGGCUUGACCA
rnacentral:rRNA from 1 species